rfam:Ictidomys tridecemlineatus contig107439, whole genome shotgun sequence.
GGGGUUGUAGCUCAGUGGUAGAGCUCUUGCCCAGCACAUGUAAGGCACUGGGUUUGCUUCCCAGCACCCCA